rnacentral:rRNA from 1 species
GAUGAACGCUAGCGGCAGGCCUAAUACAUGCAAGUCAAGGGGAUAGCAAUAUCACCGGCGGACGGGUGCGUAACGCGUACACAACGUGCCCAAGGGCGGAGGAAAGCGGCGGGAAACUGCCGGUAAUACUCCAUGGUGUUGUUGAGUGGCAUCACUUAACAACUAAAGUACAAGCGCCCUUGGAUCGGUGUGCGUUCGAUUAGCUAGUUGGCGGGGUAACGGCCCACCAAGGCUUCGAUCGAUAGGGGGUGUGAGAGCAUGACCCCCCACACGGGUACUGAGACACGGACCCGACUCCUACGGGAGGCAGCAGUAAGGAAUAUUGGACAAUGGGCGGAAGCCUGAUCCAGCCAUGCCGCGUGAAGGACGAAGGCGCUCAGCGUUGUAAACUUCUUUUGGAUGGGAACAAUAACUCCGACUUGUCGGAACUUGAGGGUACCAUCAGAAUAAGCACCGGCUAACUCCGUGCC